CUAAGUUUGAUGGCGACCGGCGCACGGGUGAGUAACACGUAUCCAACCUGCCGAUGACUCGGGGAUAGCCUUUCGAAAGAAAGAUUAAUACCCGAUGGCAUAGUUCUUCCGCAUGGUGGAACUAUUAAAGAAUUUCGGUCAUCGAUGGGGAUGCGUUCCAUUAGGUUGUUGGCGGGGUAACGGCCCACCAAGCCUUCGAUGGAUAGGGGUUCUGAGAGGAAGGUCCCCCACAUUGGAACCGAGACACGGUCCAAACUCCUACGGGAGGCAGCAUG
rnacentral:rRNA from 1 species